rnacentral:rRNA from 1 species
AACGAACGCUGGCGGCAUGCCUAACACAUGCCAGUCGAACGAUUGCCUUCGGGUGAUAGUGGCGCACGGGUGCGUAACGCGUGGGAAUCUGCCCUUAGGUUCGGAAUAACAGCUGGAAACGGCUGCUAAUACCGGAUGAUAUCGCGAGAUCAAAGAUUUAUCGCCUGAGGAUGAGCCCGCGUUGGAUUAGGUAGUUGGUGGGGUAAAGGCCUACCAAGCCGACGAUCCAUAGCUGGUCUGAGAGGAUGAUCAGCCACACUGGGACUGAGACACGGCCCAGACUCCUACGGGAGGCAGCAGUGGGGAAUAUUGGACAAUGGGCGCAAGCCUGAUCCAGCAAUGCCGCGUGAGUGAUGAAGGCCCUAGGGUUGUAAAGCUCUUUUACCAGGGAAGAUAAUGACUGUACCGGGAGAAUAAGCCCCGGCUAACUCCGUG